GGGUCAGUAGGUUGGUCGUGCCACCGGUACGUACUGGUCUCACUGAUUCCUCCUUCCUGAAGAACCGUAAUGCCAUUAAUUUGGUGUUGCGGGGAAACAGGACUGUUACUUUGAAAAAAUUAGAGUGUUUAAAGCAAGCUAACGCUUGAAUACAUUAGCAUGGAAUAAUGAAAUAGGACGAUCCAUCCUCUUUUGUUGGUUUCUAGGAUUGACGUA
rnacentral:rRNA from 1 species